AAUCCUUUGUCCCUGGGUGAAAAUGCUAUUUGUAUGCAAUGCACCCGGGCAAGGAUUUGG
rnacentral:pre_miRNA from 2 species